CAUGUCGCCAGAAGGAGAAUCACAGGAAAUGCCAAGGCAACUUCUGACCUGCGCCCAUACCGACUUCGUGUAAUCACAGGAGUGGAAGAUGUGGGCGCAGGAUUCCGCAUCAUUCCCGCAGAGGUGACAGAACGAGGCGAGAUGCCAGCCCCGCCGCUGGAGGUUGUCCGUCGUCAAGCAAGCCCAUCGCAUGGCGAGGAACAUGAAGAAUUUGCAGCGGGUCGAAUAGAACCUCCAUCCGGGAGCUAG
rnacentral:lncRNA from 1 species